rnacentral:rRNA from 1 species
AUUGAACGCUGGCGGCAUGCCUUACACAUGCAAGUCGAACGGUAACGGGGUUACGGGUGCCGACGAGUGGCGAACGGGGGCGUACUACUUCGGAAUACGCCCGAACCUGGGGGAUCACGAGGGGAAAGCUUUGCUAAUACCGCCUACUACCUCCGGAUGCAUGCAGGUGAAAGCAAGGCCUCUCGGGGACUUGCCCGCCGAUGGCAGCUUAGGUAGUUGGUGGGAUAAAGGCUUACCAAGCCGACGAUCUGUAGCUGGUCUGAGAGGAUGAUCAGCCACACUGGGACUGAGACACGGCCCAGACUCCUACGGGAGGCAGCAGUGGGGAAUAUUGGACAAUGGGCGCAAGCCUGAUCCAGCCAUGCCGCGUGCAUGAUGAAGGCCUUCGGGUUGUAAACUGCUUUUGUACGGAACGAAAAGCCUUCUUUUAAUACAGGAGGGUCAUGACGGUACCGAAAGAAUAAGCACCGGCUAACUACGUG